AGAGUUUGAUCCUGGCUCAGAACGAACGCUGGCCGCGCCUAAUACAUGCAAGUCGAACGAGAAUGUGUAGCAAUACACAUGUACAGUGGCGAACGGGUGAGGAUUACAUGGGUAACCUACCCUCGAGUGGGGAAUAACUAGCCGAAAGGUUAGCUAAUACCGCGUACGCUUCCCGGACUGCGGUUCGGGAAGGAAAGCGAUACCGUGGGUAUCGCGCUCUUGGAUGGGCUCAUGCCCUAUCAGCUUGUUGGUGAGGUAACGGCUCACCAAGGCUUCGACGGGUAGCUGAUCUGAGAGGAUGAUCAGCCACACUGGCACUGCGACACGGGCCAGACUCCUACGGGAGGCAGCAGUAAGGAAUAUUGCGCAAUGGGCGAAAGCCUGACGCAGCGACGCCGCGUGGGGGAUGAAGGUCUUCGGAUUGUAAACCCCUUUCGGGAGGGAAGAUGGGAUGGGGUAACCCAUUCGGACGGUACCUCCAGAAGCAGCCACGGCUAACUUCGUGCCAGCAGCCGCGGUAAUACGAAGGUGGCAAGCGUUGUUCGGAUUUACUGGGCGUACAGGGAGCGUAGGCGGUUGGAUAAGCCCUCCGUGAAAUCUCCAGGCUUAACCUGGAAAGUGCAGAGGGGACUGUUCAGCUAGAGGGUGGGAGAGGAGCGCGGAAUUCCCGGUGUAGCGGUGAAAUGCGUAGAGAUCGGGAGGAAGGCCGGUGGCGAAGGCGGCGCUCUGGAACAUUUCUGACGCUGAGGCUCGAAAGCGUGGGGAGCAAACAGGAUUAGAUACCCUGGUAGUCCACGCCUUAAACGAUGGAUACUAAGUGUCGGCGGGUUACCGCCGGUGCCGCAGCUAACGCAGUAAGUAUCCCGCCUGGGAAGUACGGCC
rnacentral:rRNA from 1 species